GUCCCAUUGGUUGCUGUGCAGAGACACAGUCGCUCUGUUCACAUGAGAACUGACACAAAGUGAGACAGCAAACACAGUACAGGCCCGAGUCUUCAGUCCUGAGUCUGGACACAUGAAGUCUGAUUCGUCCUUCUCUGAGGACGUCUUUGUCACACUGGACUCGUCCUUUAAACUGUUCAUCCUGAGACUCUGGGACCUCGACACCUUCAUGUAGAUGAUACAGGACUGAAACCUUGUGAUCAGUAAUCAGUACACAGUAGAUAUAAAGAGAGUUGAGGGAACUGUCAGUGUUGGUUGUGAACGUCCAUUCCAGUGUGAUGUUAUGGUUCUCCUCUGCCUGAUAGGAGGUCUGUGUCACAUUCACUACAAAUGUUCCUGUUGAGGAGACAGAGAGGGAAAGUGAGGACCAGACAAAGUGACAACUUUAACAUGUGAGCCUUUAAACUCCAUCUAGAGAUGUUUCUGUGGACAGUUUAGUGAUGCUCUCAGUGCUGUAGAGGCCUUCCUCCUUACAGAUUGAAAGAUGGAAGUCUGAAAGUGUAUUUGGACUUUUCUCUUCAUGGAUAAUAAAGUGAAGGUGGAAACUAACCACAGACACAGGAGGUCAGGUUGAUGAGCAGCAGGAUCCAGCAGAUCAUCUUCUCCCUGUGAGAGGAGACAGCGGUGAAGAGUCAUAAACACAUACAUAGUAAUAGAUAAAGAAAAAAAAGAUAAUGUUUGGUUAAAUGUGUUUGUGUGAAUCCACCAAUAAAAAUGAAAGAACAGUUUCAUAUAUAAUAAAAACACCAUGUGCUGAAAGUACGUGGACAGACAACAACAGCACCAACUAGUGGUGAACAGGCUGCUGCACUCAAAAACUGAUCCAAGCCCUUCUUUGAUGUGACACAUUAAAUUGUUGUUUGAUUUGCUGAAACAAAUCUAGUAAACACUAAACAGAUGUAAAUUUAAUUGUGGUAACGUAAUAGUUUCACCUUGACAUUCAUGAACUCAAAACAAAUGAGUUUCAUUUGAAUUGGGACCGCCCAUUGCCCGAAGCAGCGCGCUCUCAGCCUCCGUUCCUCCCGGUCAUUUUUCACUGACAACUUCUGCCAACGCUGCGGCAGGAUUUUUUUACUUAUUUUACUUUACAGAGCCACGGAAAGCUGCUGUAAUUCCACUCCUUGGUGAGUACUCGAUUUUGUUAUAUUUUAAAAAGCAUGCUGUGAAAAGACAGACAAAUUUUACCGUCAGUGAAGUCUGACAUGGGCUCGCGGGCUAGCUAGCUAAGAUACAUGAGGGAGAAUUAAGUUUGACCAAGUGUCUGUGGUUACUCUGACACGGGUUAUAACCACACAACUUUUACUUAAAAAGUGUACACGAACAUGAAUUAUGAGCUCUAACAACUAAUGAGUCUGUUUAAGCAAACCCCCCCUCACCUCUGCCCUCCCUUCCCCUCCUCAGUCAGGGUCUCUCUCUCUCUCACACAUUAAACCUGUCUACUUAGAUGUUACAGGCUGUUUGUGGCUUGCAAAGACCAAUUACUCGCUGCAAACUUGUCGCAAAUUGCCGUUUUGAAUGUGUUGGUCAUUUAUGUGAUAUAUACAGUCUAUGGUUACAACACCAAAGGCUAGCUAACAGUCAGUCAGUUUUUUUUUACCAAUACAAAAAGAGAAGCUGUGGCACAAACAUCAUCUAAUGCUGUCAGGAAAACGAGGUGUGUAAAUGUCUGUUAUUAAUUGAUUUUAUUGCUUUCUUUUACAGUUUGAUUAUAUAAUUAUUUUUUUCACAUAUACAACAGACAGCCCAAAAACCUACUGAUCUUCAGACUGUUCUAAUCCCUGCACCACCAUCACAACCAGGUGUCUUUAUUUGUCACCCAUGUUUUAGUGCGAUGACAUCAACAUAAGGAGGGAGUGCAUCCUGAGAAGCCUUGUUGUCUAUGUCAAUGAAGACCCAGAUGUGUUUUUCAAGGAAUAUUUGCUGAGGAUGCAGAGAGGGACAUCGCCACCACAGUCAUGGGGAUUUACACAAUCCGAAGAGAUGGACAUGAAGAGCCAGAGGACGUGGGAGUUGUGAUUGAGGGCAUUAAAGUCCUCAACAAUGUUGGCAGCGUCAUCAUGGGGUUCAUCAUGCUGUUUGGGCUCAUUUAUGCCCUUGAUCUAGCCUUUCCCGAAAACCUCAAGUUCUUCGAGUUUUUCCAGAAGCUGAAAAUCAAGCUGUUUUCAUAAGGUGCAAACACUGUGUCCACACAUUCAGUGACAGUCAGCAUGGAUGUUUUUCUUGUUAACUACUUGUGUAGCACAUCUUGAAGUGUGUUCCAAUGGAUAGGCUGUGACUGGACUCAAAGAAAUUCCUUUUUUUCUCUCACGUUUCAGGUUCUGUUUUGUACUUCUACCAUGUGUAUAGUAUAGUAGAACCAAAGUUUUCAUGUUUAAUGUGAGUUGGUUAUACCAUGCCUUAGCCUUUGCAGAUAUUCUACUUGUAUUAUUAUUGUACUAGCACUAAUACUAGUUACUUUGGUUGAAGCAGUUUUGAAGCGGAUUAAUUUAUUUACUUUUCUAAAUAUGAUAGGUCAUACACUGUGUUCAUCAUAGAUAAAAAACUUAAGAGAAGCUUAAAAAGCUAAGCUCUCAGUCAAGGUCAAAGUGCAUUUUGAAUAGUUUAGUUUGAGAUUGGUGGAAGACUUUCCAUGUUUUGUACUGUAGAUGUGUGUUAAAUGUGGUAUAUGUAUAUUUCAUUCCAGUAUUUAGGCACUACAUAGUGCAGUUAAUGGUAAAAAAUGUUCAGGGUCGGUCAAAACAUGCCUUAGCUUUUCUGCCUGAAACAUAUAGCUAGGCUCUGAGGCAGUUUUUCUGUGUGUUUUGACACAAGUCAGUAACUGUCAUCAAUAUGUUGAUGAGUUCCAUGUUGAUGUUUUAUAUCUAUAUAUAUCUCUCUCUCCCUCUCUCUUUCUCUAUAGAUAUAUAGAUAUAUAUAUUUGUAUGAGGUUUUAUUCGUUUUAAAUAAAAACAUAUUAACCAGA